CUAUACUUUUUAGCAAUGGGCAAAACUAUAGCUUGCAUUCUGAUGUUAACACCACUUCUGCAGAGCUGAGUGAAGCUAUGCCAGUAUUCACACCUACUGAGUAUGUAAAACUCAUCUG